rnacentral:rRNA from 1 species
CACGUAGGGGGCGAGCGUUGUCCGGAUUUAUUGGGCGUAAAGAGCUCGUAGGCGGCUCAGUAAGUCAGGUGUGAAAACUCCAGGCUCAACCUGGAGACGCCAUCUGAUACUGCUGUGGCUAGAGUCCGGUAGGGGAGCAUGGAAUUCCUGGUGUAGCGGUGAAAUGCGCAGAUAUCAGGAGGAACACCGGUGGCGAAGGCGGGUCUCUGGGCCGAUACUGACGC